GUCGAGGGGCAGCGGGGAGCGAAGCUUGCUUUGCUCCGCCGGCGACCGGCGCACGGGUGAGUAACGCGUAUGCAACCUGCCCGUUUCAGCGGGAUAACCCGGAGAAAUCCGGCCUAAUACCGCAUGUGGCCGAGGGGAGGCAUCUUCUUUCGGCCAAAGGAGGCAACUCCGGAGACGGAUGGGCAUGCGUGACAUUAGCUUGUUGGCGGGGUAACGGCCCACCAAGGCGACGAUGUCUAGGGGUUCUGAGAGGAAGGUCCCCCACACUGGUACUGAGACACGGACCAGACUCCCACGGGAGGCAGCAGUGAGGAAUAUUGGUCAAUGGGCGAGAGCCUGAACCAGCCAAGUCGCGUGAAGGAUGACGGCCCUAUGGGUUGUAAACUUCUUUUGUCAGGGAGCAAUUGAGUCCACGUGUGGGCUUAGCGAGAGUACCUGAGGAAAAAGCAUCGGCUAACUCCGUGCCAGCAGCCGCGGUAAUACGGAGGAUGCGAGCGUUAUCCGGAUUUAUUGGGUUUAAAGGGUGCGUAGGCGGAAUAUCAAGUCAGCGGUAAAAAUUCGGGGCUCAACCCCGUCGUGCCGUUGAAACUGAUGUUCUUGAGUGGGCGAGAAGUAUGCGGAAUGCGUGGUGUAGCGGUGAAAUGCAUAGAUAUCACGCAGAACUCCGAUUGCGAAGGCAGCAUACCGGCGCCCAACUGACGCUGAAGCACGGAAGCGUGGGUAUCGAACANGAUUAGAUACCCUGGNAGUCCACGCAGUAAACGAUGAAUGCUAAU
rnacentral:rRNA from 1 species